rnacentral:lncRNA from 1 species
AUGUGCAAUUUUGGCAAGCUUGAAGCUGCAAGGGAACUGUUCUCCAAUCUUUUUGUUAAAGGAAUACAACCUGACGUGGUUACAUAUACUGUCAUGAUCAGUGGACUUUUGAAAGGAGGACUAUCAAAUGAAGCAUGUGAGUUGUUUAGAGACAUGGCUGUUCAUGGCUGCUUGCCGAAUAGUUGCACUUACAACGUUAUAAUCCAAGGAUUUCUUCGAAACGGUGACACAUCAAAUGCAGGACGACUAAUCGAAGAAAUGGUUGGUAGAGGGUUCUCUGCAGAUUCGUCUACAUUUCAGAUGUUAUCGGAUCUGGAAUCGAGGGAUGAAAUCAUAAGUCUCUUUAUGCAUGGAAGCUCACAAGGUAGAAAAAUGAAGUAAAAUCUUCCUAUCAAGUGUAGUUUUCAUCAAAAUAGUUAGGUUUUUGUACACAAAAAUAUAUUGUGAGAACGAAAACACCUUACUAAAUUAAAAAGAGCUAAUUAGCAUCUGAAAAACAUUAUAGCUGUAAAGACAUUUACAUUGUUCACUGCAAUAUUGUAAUGACUCUUUCGACUCAUCAUCCAAAACAUUUAACACUGGUUUUCAAGGGCAUAUAAGUAUUUUCACAUAAUUAAUUUGUUAUUUUCAAAUUGACUGGUGAUAAAUAAAUUUUUUUUACAUUAAUUGCACAAUAAAAUAGCCAAAAUAUUUUUGAAAUUAAAAAAAUUAAACCUUGCAUUAGAAGCUAUUUUUAUGUUUUUCAUAAUGGGUUUUUUGAUAUUAUAAUUUAAGUUGAGGGAUAUUUUGGUAUUUAACCAAAUAUAAUAUAUAAUAAAUAAUUAAAAUACAUGGUAAAACAAUAAAAAAUACCAUUGAAAUAAAUAAAAAUUAAGCCUAAAGUUAAGGGGUAUUUUUGGCUUGUCAUAAUAGUUUUUUUAUAAUUGCAAAGUCAACUCAGGAGCAUUUUCAUAUUUGACCAAAUAAAAAAAAUAAAAUAGUUCAUACAUGACACUUAAAUUGUAAUUACAAAGAUGUAUGCAUUUCAAUAUCCAAAAAUAUCCUUCAGCAAUGUUGUUAGAAUUUGUUUUUCUCUUUCCUCUCUUCAAAAGUACAGCUUUGUUGUUUUUGUUGUUGGUAUUUCAAUUACAGUUCUUAUUUUUUUAAUUUUUUAUUUUGUUCUUGAUCCUGGAAUUUUAUUUGUUUUCAAUCUUAUCUUUCAAUCUCAAUUUACUAAAUAUUAUAUUCUUCAAUUUGAUUUUUAUUCUUUUAAUUUCUAUCUUUUCUUUGUCAUUUUAUAAAAAAUUUAUUUGUUUUUAAUUUUAUCAUUCAAUUUAAACUGAUAGUAUUAUAUUUUUCAAUUUAGUUCUCAUUGUUUUGAUUUCUAAUUUUUCUCUUGGUCCUUUUAUAGAAUUUAUUGUUCUUUUUAAUUUCACUCCUCAAUCGUAAUAUUAUUUUUAUUUUUGCGUUAUUUUUUAUCCUUAUUUUUUUGAUAUUUUUUGGUCUUUUUGUUAAAUUUAUUUUUCUUUUUAAUUUUGCGCUCUAAUCAAAUAAUUUUUUUUUUCAAUUUUGAUCCUCAUUCUUUUAAUUGUUGUUUUUUUAAAAUCUUUUUUUUAUAAUUAAUUUUUUUUUCAGUUUCAACUUUCAAUAUUUGAUUGAUUACAUGAUUUUUUUUUCUGAUUAGAUAACUUAGGUCUAAUAAACUAGAUUAUAAAUUUAAAAAGUUAGCAUGAAUUAUUUUUAAAACAAAUCUUCAUGAUCCUUUUGUUUUUAUAUAUAAUGGUAUUCAAAUUUCAUAAUCUAAAAUACAAGUUUAGUAAAAUAUUCUAAAUUAGCUUUACUCUAAUUAUCAGAAUUACAAAUUUAUAAUAACCGAUUUUUUAUAUUAUUUUUUUAUCUCAAUUUGGCAUCUAAAUAUCAUUUUUUUAAAAAAAAAACGGCCCCGCGCCGAGGCAAGUAAUCCUAAAAUGAAAUGGUGCAUUGGGUUUUAUGAUGAGCGCAAUUUGGAAAACCCUAAAAAGAGAAGCCCCUCAGCUUGCGUGUUUCAGUCUCAGUGACCACCGCUAACUUUCUUGAGUGAGACUGGGAGCAGGUUUUGUUGGGCUAAGCUUCUGCUUUGCAAAUAAUGAUGUGGAAAUCCACCUUUACAGCUUCUGCUUCUCUCUUUGAGCUUCAACAACGACAAAUGGAAAUCGGUGUUUUUCCUAAAUUCCCUUCUUUCUUAUUCUUCACUCCCCAGCAAAUCGCUACUUCUACAGCUUCUACCACCAAAAUUAGUCCUUCCUCGAGAAACAAUGGUGGGUUUUGUAAUAAUUAUAGCACUCUUCAUAGUGUUUCCGAUGCCGUUGCUUCUUUCAAUGAGUUGCUUAGCAUUCGUCCAAUGCCACCCGUUGUGGAAUUUAACCAGUUAUUAGGGUCCCUUGUCAAAAAGAAACAUUACUCUACUGUAAUUUCUCUCUGCAAACAAAUGGAUUUGUCAAAUAUCAGACCUGACGUUUAUACUCUUACCAUUUUGAUUAACUGCUCUGCCACUCCAACCAUGAUCAUUUUCAUUUUGUUUUCUCUGCUUUUGGUAAAAUGUUCAAACUUGGUCUUCCACCUACUAAUGUCACUUUCAAUACCCUAUUUAACGGCCUUUUAUCUAAGGCCAAAAUCACAGAUGCAGAAAAAAUGUUUGUUGAGAUGCUAAAGAUGGGGUAUGAACCUGAUGUGAUUACUUAUAGCACUAUAAUUAAUGGUUUAUGCAAAACCGGCAACACGACCAGGGCUCUUCAUUUGAUCAAGAAGAUGGAAGAAAAAGGUUGUACGCCAGCAGUGGCGACAUAUAAUACUAUCAUAGAUAGCCUUUGCAAGGAUAAACGGGUAAACCAAGCCACUGAAUUCCUAUUUGAAAUGUUUGAUCGGGGCAUUCCACCAAAUGUUGUUACUUACAGCUCGAUUCUGCACGGCUUUUGCAAAUUGGGUCGAUUGAAUGAAGCAACAAGCUUGUUCAAUCAAAUGGUUGAAAGGAAUGUUAUGCCAAAUACAGUGACAUUCACUAUUUUGGUUGAUGGACUCUGCAAAGAAGGGAUGAUUUCAGAAGCUCGGUGUGUUUUUGAAAGGAUGACUGAAAAGGGUGUAGAACCAAAUGUUUACACUUACAAUGCUUUGAUGGAUGGAUACUGUUUAAGAAGCCAAAUGAAUGAGGCCCAAAAUUUGCUCAACAUCAUGGUUCGCAAGGGUUGCGCACCUAGUGUUCGAAGUUAUAACAUAUUGAUCAAGGGGCACUGUAAGAGUGGAGGGAUUGAUGAGGCAAAAGGACUCCUUGCUGAAAUGUCUCAUAAAGCAUUGACUCCUGAUACUGUCACUUAUAACACUCUUAUGAAAGGUUUUUGCCAUGUAGGGAGACCUCAGGAUGCACAGAAGCUUUUUAAGGAGAUGUGUUCGUAUGGCCUGCUUCCGAAUUUGAUCACUUACUCGAUUGUGCUUGAUGGCUUAUGCAAACAUGGCCUUUUGGACGAGGCAUUCAAAGUGCUCAAGGCAAUGCAGGAGAGAAGGAUAGAACCUGAUAUUUUCAUUUAUACUAUCCUUAUUCGAGGGAUGUGCAAUUUUGGCAAGCUUGAAGCUGCAAGGGAACUGUUCUCCAAUCUUUUUGUUAAAGGGAUACAACCUGAUGUGGUUACAUAUAAAGUCAUGAUCAGUGGACUUUUGAAAGAAGGACUAUCAAAUGAAGCAUGUGAGUUGUUUAGAAAGAUGGCAGUUGAUGGCUGCUUGCUGAAUAGUUGCACUCACAACCUUAUAAUCCAAGGAUUUCUUCGAAACGGUGACACAUCAAAUGCAGUACAACUAAUCGAAGAGAUGGCAGGUAGAGGGCUUUCUGCAGAUUCAUCUACAUUUCAGAUGUUAUUGGAUCUGGAAUCUUAUGAUGAAAUCAUAAGACGAUUUCUGCAUGGAAACUCUCAAGGUAGAAAAAUGAAGUGAAAUUUUCAUAUCAAGUGCAGUUUCCAUGUAUUGGCUUUCUUCAAAAUAGUUAGGUUUUUGUACCACUUUCAAGUUACUGCACUCAUAUUUUCAGCUUUGAUGAGUGAUUUCUCAAAUACGAAUAGAUGAUCCAUUAAUUGUUUAUAUACUGACAAUAUUUUAUUUAUUACAAGUGCUUAAGACUAUCAGAAUGGAAAAAUGGAGAGUAGCAGUUUCAAAGGGAAUACAGUUGCCAGUAUCUGAAUGUUGGUGAUAAUAAAAUGGCAUUGCAAAUGAAUCUUGCUAGUUGUAAACUUUUACCUUAUUUUUGUAUCUCUAUGUAUGAUCUUUCUGUUCAAUGACUUAAAUGUGAACUUCUUUGAUUUCCAGACUUGUUCUUGCUGGAAAUUAAUGCAAGCUUCACUAGGAAUAUGCAUUUGGUUAAAGGCAACCUACCAUGUCAUCAGAUUGGAAGCUGUUGCUGAAUCUUCAGGAACUUCUGGAGGUGGCAUUUAAUCAUGUCCAUGGAGGUUUAUGGCAGGUUUUUUUUUGCCUUCUCUCGCCUCUUAUAAUAUAAGAGAUUAUUGCUAACAUUAUAAGAAAAAACUAGAAUUUUAUUUGAGAAUAAAUGUCAAAUCGAACAAUACCCAGUGAAAUAGCAUCUUAAAUAUAAUUUUAUCUAUCUUAUUAUAAUAAAUUUUGAUUAAACUUUAAGAAAAAAAAUCAUGAAGGGCGUAUAAAAAGAGUGCUCUCUAAUUUUAUAUAAAAAAGUCAUAAUCUUAUUGAAAAAAAUAAUAUUUAAUGAAAUAAUACUCUAAAUAAAAUUAUUAUCAUUUUAUUAUUCUAAAGAAUUCUAAUAAAAAAAAAACUCUCAAAGAGUCUAGACUCAUGGGCCUAGAUGGGCCAGCUCCAGCUCCUCGUCCAAAACAAAAGGAAAGCUAGGCAAUAAUACCAGACUUGCUAGACUUAUGAAUGUUAUAAAAAAAAGAAGAAAAGAGUAAAGAAAACCUGCUUAUUUAUUUCAAUACCAAACUUGGUCUCUAAAGUCUUAAUUAUUUUUAAAUAAUAAUUUUUUUAUUAUUAUAUCAUGCAUCAAUUUAUCAUCAAAUUAUCCAUUUCAAAUAAUAAAUCCAUGAUGAAAUAAAAAAAAAUCAGUGACAAAAAUAGUUUUUAGUUUAUCUACAAGGAUUUAAAAGAGGUCCAUUGGGUUCCUUCUGGUUUAUCCAUUCAUUACUAAAGACGAGAGGAAGACUGAACGGAAGUCUGGAGUUGUGAGAGUGAGAGAUUGGCUACUUACAUUGUGAGACUGAACGGAAGUCUUUAUAAGAACACUAGGAGACAGCAGCUUUUUCUCAUGCUUUCGCGUUCGCUUUCGCUUUCGCUUUCGAACAUGAUGAUGCGGAAAAGCACUUUCGUAGCUUCUGCUUCUUGUGCUUUUCAGCUUCUUCAACAACAACAAAUGGAAACGGGUACUUUUCCUAAAUUCCGUUCUUUCUUAUUCUUCAUUCACCAGCACUUCACUACUUCUACAGCCUCUACCACCAACAUUAGCCCUUCCUCCAUAACAAAUGGUGGGUUUUGUAGUAACUAUAACAAUCUUCAUAGUGUUGCCGAUGCCGUUGCUUCUUUCAAUCAGUUGCUUGGCAUUCGUCCAUUGCCACCCGUUGUGGUGUUUAACAAGUUAUUAGGGUCCCUUGUGAAAAAGAAACAUUACUCAACUGUAAUUUCCCUCUGCAAACAAAUGGAUUUGUCAAAUAUCAGACCUAAUGUUUAUACUCUUACCAUUUUGAUUAACUGCCUCUGCCACUCCAACCGUGAUCAUGUUCACUUUGCUUUCUCUGCUCUGGGUAAAAUGUUCAAACUUGGUCUUCAACCUACUCAUGUCACUUUCGGCACCCUCCUUAACGGCCUUUGCUCUAAGGCCAAAAUCAUCGAUGCUGUAAAAUUAUUUGAUGAGAUAGGAAAGAUGGGUUUUGCACCUAGUUUGAUUACUUAUACUACUAUAAUUAAAGGUUUAUGCAAAAUCGGCCACACGACCAAUGCACUUCAGUUGCUCAAGAAGAUGGAAGAAAAAGGUUGUAAGCCAGAUGUGGUGGCAUAUAACACAGUCAUAGAUAGCCUUUGUAAAGAUAGACGGGCCAAUGAAGCCAUGUACUUCUUUUCUGAAAUGGUGGAUCAGGGCAUUCCACCAAAUGUUGUUACCUACAGCUCAAUUCUGCACGGUUUUUGCAAUUUGGGUCAGUUGAAUGAAGCAACAAGCUUGUUCAAACAAAUGAUUGGAAGGAAUGUUAUGCCAAAUACGGUGACAUUCACUAUUUUGGUUGAUGGACUCUGCAAAGAAGGGAUGAUUUUAGAAGCUCGGCGUGUCUUUGAAAUGAUGACUGAAAACGGUGUAGAACCAGAUGCUUACACUUACAGUGCUUUGAUGGACGGAUACUGUUUACAAAGCCAAAUGGAUGAGGCCCAAAAAUUGUUCGACAUCAUGGUUGGCAAGGGUUUUGCACCUAGUGUUCGAGUUUACAACAUACUAAUCAAUGGGCACUGUAAGAGUAGAAGGCUGAAUGAGGCGAAAACACUCCUUUCUGAAAUGUAUGACAGAGAUUUGACUCCCGAUACUGUCACUUACAGUACUCUUAUGCAAGGUUUUUGCCAAGCAGGGAGACCUCAGGUUGCACAGAAGCUUUUUAAGGAGAUGUGUUCUUAUGGCCUGCUUCCAGAUUCGAUUACUUAUUCGAUUUUGCUAGAUGGCUUAUGCAAACAUGGACAUUUGGAUGAGGCAUUCAGACUGCUCAAGGCAAUGCAGGAGAGCAAGAUAGAGCCGCAUAUUUGCAUUUAUAAUAUCCUUAUUCAAGGGAUGUGCAAUUUUGGCAAGCUUGAAGCUGCAAGGGAACUGUUCUCCAAUCUUUUUGUUAAAGGAAUACAACCUACUGUGGUUACAUAUACUGUCAUGAUCAGUGGACUUUUGAAAGAAGGACUAUCAAAUGAAGCAUGUGAGAUGUUUAGGAAAAUGGUAGUUAAUGGCUGCUUGCCGAAUAGUUGCACUUAUAACGUUGCAAUCCAAGGAUUU